rnacentral:rRNA from 1 species
GACGAACGCUGGCGGCGUGCCUAAUACAUGCAAGUCGAACGCUUCUUUUUCACCGAACUUCGGUUCAUCGAAAAAGAGGAGUGGCGAACGGGUGAGUAACACGUGGGUAACCUGCCCAUCAGAAGGGGAUAACACUUGGAAACAGGUGCUAAUACCGUAUAAUGCUUUUUCUCGCAUGAGAGCAAGCUGAAAGGCGCUUUUGCGUCACUGAUGGAUGGACCCGCGGUGCAUUAGCUAGUUGGUGAGGUAACGGCUCACCAAGGCCACGAUGCAUAGCCGACCUGAGAGGGUGAUCGGCCACACUGGGACUGAGACACGGCCCAGACUCCUACGGGAGGCAGCAGUAGGGAAUCUUCGGCAAUGGACGAAAGUCUGACCGAGCAACGCCGCGUGAGUGAAGAAGGUUUUCGGAUCGUAAAACUCUGUUGUUAGAGAAGAACAAGGAUGAGAGUAAAAUGUCAUC